rnacentral:rRNA from 1 species
CGCGUAGGCGGCCUGAUAAGUCAGAUGUGAAAGCCCACGGCUUAACUGUGGAAGUGCAUCUGAAACUGUCAGGCUUGAGUACUGGAGGGGAAAGUGGAAUUCCUGGUGUAGAGGUGAAAUUCGUAGAGAUCAGGAGGAACACCGGUGGCGAAGGCGACUUUCUGGACAGAUACUGACGCUGAGGCGCGAAAGCGUGGGGAGCAAACA